rnacentral:rRNA from 1 species
GACCGAUAGCGAAUAGUACCGUGAGGGAAAGGGGAAAAGAACCCCGGGAGGGGAGUGAAACAGAACCUGAAACCUUGCGCCUACAAGCAGACAGAGGAAGAAGACUUCUAAUGUCGUACUUUUUGUAGAACGGGCCAGCGAGUUACGAUACGUAGCAAGAUUAAACAUUUAAGAUGUGAAGUCGCAGGGAAACCGAGUCUUAAUAGGGCGAAAGUUGCGUGUUGUAGACCCGAAACCGGGUGAUCUAUCCAUGGGCAGAGUGAAGGUAAAGUAAAAUUUACUGGAGGCUCGAACCGGGUAGCGUUUAAAAGCUAUCGGAUGACCUGUGGAUAGGGGUGAAAAGCCAAUCGAACUCGGAUAUAGCUGGUUCUCCUCGAAAUAGCUUUAGGGCUAGCCUUGUUUUAGAUUACAGGAGGUAGAGCACUGAAUAGUCUAGGGGAAGUAAUUCUACCGAAACUUAUCAAACUCCGAAUGCCUGAAAAUCGAUGAACAGGAGUCAGACCAUGAGGGAUAAGCUUCAUAGUCAAAAGGGAAACAGCCCAGACCACCAGUUAAGGUCCCAAAAUACAGAUUAAGAGGGAAAGGAUGUAAUACUACUCAGACAACCAGGAUGUUGGCUCAGAAGCAGCCAUACAUUUAAAGAGUGCGUAAUAGCUCACUGGUCAAGUGGUAAUGCGCCGAAGAUGAACGGGGCUAAAUCUGAUACCGAAACUGUGGGAUAGAAAAGCAAUUAUGCGAGAAGUAUGAAGUAAAAGUGAUUAGGAAAUAUAUCAACUAGUAAAGUAAGAGAGAAAGACAUAAAACAAAAUUUGUGAAAACACAAAGCGUAAAACUAUUAAACGAUACAAUUUCUAAAACACUUAACAACAUACAACUGGCAUAAUAGCUUUUCUAUCGGUAGAGGAGCGUUGUAUAUGAAUUGAAGCAAAAAGCGUAAGCAAUUGUGGAUUAUAUACAAGUGAGAAUGCUGGCAUGAGUAGCGAAAAGGGAUGUGAGAAUCAUCCCCGUCGAAAGCCCAAGGAUUCCUGAGCAAGGCUCGUCCUCUCAGGGUAAGUCGGGACCUAAGGCGAGGCCGAAAGGCGUAGUCGAUGGACAACAGGUAGAAAUUCCUGUACUACAAGAUUGUGAUUGAGAGAAGUACUGACGCAGAAGGAAAAGUCGAGCGUGUGAAUGGUAGAACACGUCCAAGUAACAAGCCAGAAUAUACAGGCAAAUCCGUAUAUUCGUUAACGUAAGUUAUCAUGGGGAGCAGAAAGAUGCGAAGCGACAGAUUCAAACUGCCAAGAAAAGGUGCUAUCGAAUAAUCUUGUACCCGUACCGCAAACCGACACAGGUAGGCAAGAAGAGAAUUCUAAGACGCGCGGAAGAACCUUUGUUAAGGAACUCGGCAAAAUAAUCCCGUAAGUUAGCGAGAAGGGAUGCCUAAGAAAUUAGGUCGCAGAGAAUAGGCCCAAGCGACUGUUUACCAAAAACACAAGUAUCUGCUAAAUCGAAAGAUGAAGUAUAGGUGCUGACACCUGCCCGGUGCUGGAAGGUCAAGGGGACUUGUUAGAGCAAUCGAAGCAACGAACUUAAGCCCCAGUAAACGGCGGCCGUAACUAUAACGGUCCUAAGGUAGCGAAAUUCCUUGUCGGGUAAGUUCCGACCCGCACGAAAGGCGUAACGAUUUGGGCACUGUCUCAACGAGAGACUCGGUGAAAUCAUAGUACCUGUGAAGAUGCAGGUUACCCGCGACAGGACGGAAAGACCCCGUGGAGCUUUACUGUAGCCUGAUAUUGAAAUUCGGCACAGCUUGUACAGGAUAGGUAGGAGCCUUUGAAACGUGAGCGCUAGCUUACGUGGAGGCGUUGGUGGGAUACUACCCUAGCUGUGUUGGCUUUCUAACCCGCACCACUUAUCGUGGUGGGAGACAGUGUCAGGCGGGCAGUUUGACUGGGGCGGUCGCCUCCUAAAAGGUAACGGAGGCGCUCAAAGGUUCCCUCAGAAUGGUUGGAAAUCAUUCAUAGAGUGUAAAGGCAUAAGGGAGCUUGACUGCGAGACCUACAAGUCGAGCAGGGUCGAAAGACGGACUUAGUGAUCCGGUGGUUCCGCAUGGAAGGGCCAUCGCUCAACGGAUAAAAGCUACCCCGGGGAUAACAGGCUUAUCUCCCCCAAGAGUUCACAUCGACGGGGAGGUUUGGCA